rnacentral:misc_RNA from 2 species
CCCAACUAUCCCUAUUAAUCAUUACGUUGAUCCUAGAAACCAACAAAAUAGAAUCGAACGUCCUAUUUCAUUAUUCCAUGCUAAUGUAUUCAAGCGCGUGCCUGCUUUAAACACUCUAAUUUUUUCAAAGUAACAGUCCUGACUCCCCACAACAUCAAAUUAAUGACAUCAUGAUUCAUCAGAAGGGAGAAAUCAAUGACAUUAGUACGUACCGAAGGCACGACCGACGUAUUGAUCCCGAAAUUCAACUACGAGCUUUUUAACUGCAACAACUUUAAUAUACGCUAUUGGAGCUGGAAUUACCGCGGCUGCUGGCACCAGACUUGCCCUCCAA